UACGUAGGGUGCGAGCGUUGUCCGGAAUUAUUGGGCGUAAAGAGCUUGUAGGCGGUUUGUCGCGUCUGCUGUGAAAAUCCGGGGCUCAACCCCGGACUUGCAGUGGGUACGGGCAGACUAGAGUGUGGUAGGGGAGACUGGAAUUCCUGGUGUAGCGGUGGAAUGCGCAGAUAUCAGGAGGAACACCGAUGGCGAAGGCAGGUCUCCUGGGCCACUACUGACGCUGAGGCGCGAAAGGCUAGGGGAGCGAACAGG
rnacentral:rRNA from 1 species